rnacentral:sRNA from 1 species
UUCUGUGUCUGGUCGUUGUAGGUCUUA